rnacentral:lncRNA from 1 species
UCUUUUCUUUUUCUUUUCCCAUUAAACCUCUGCUCCUAAACUCCUCAUAUGUGUCUGUGUCCUAAAUUUUCUUGGUGCAAGAGGAUGAACCCCAGGUUCAGGGAAUGCAUGUGGAGGUUUGGUACAUGGCGAUAUUGCUUGUUGCUGAGGCUCAGUGUAAGAAUGAUCCUGUCACCAAGGAUUUGAAAUUUGGAAAAGCCUAUAAAGUUUUCAGAAAAUUCCAGAAAAAAAAUUCUGCACAGAAGCAUUUAACUAUAUUUAAACGUAUGAGAUACAGCUGAUGGAAACAUAAUAUUUGACUUGGAAACCAUUAUUGUAAAAACUAAUACAUUGUCUUUCUUUCCUGCUUCACAUAUUCAUCAAUUGCCUACAAUGCGAAAGACAUUAUCCUAAGUACUCACAUGAAAACAAAAACAAAAUGGAGUUGUAGAUGCUGGCAAGGCUGUGGAGAAAAAGGAAUGCUUGCCUACU